GGGGCACGGCAGGGGGCGAAGAGGCGGAGUGCUCCCGAUCCGCCAGGCCAGGUUGGAUGGAACCCUGGGCAGCCUGAUGUAGCGAAUGGCAGCUCUGUCUGUGAUUAAUCAUCUGGCUGAAUGUAUUCUGGUUUAUGGAUUAUCAGCUGCACUUUUCGGCUUUAACAUCAGCACUUGGGCAAGACCUCAAACACAGCCCUUCCCAUCGCCAUCUUAAAAUCAUAGAAUUAUAGAAUAGCUUGAGUUGGAAGGGACAUGAAAGGUCAUCUAGUUCCAACCCCCCACCAUGGGCAGGGCUGCCACCCACCAGCUCAGGGUGCCCAGGGCCCC
ensembl:lncRNA